ensembl:lncRNA
CUGAAUUGCUGUGGUAAACAGUUUUUAUACAUUGUUGUACUUGUUUCUCCUUCUUCUUUUUAAACUUUAAUCCUAUCAAAUCCCUUUUCAUUCACGCAUACAGCUUGGACCAAACUGGACAUAAGACUAUUAGGACAUACUUAUCUUGAACAUUGUCCUGGUGGACAGACACUAUCAGAUUGGAGACUCUAACUGUGCUUUAAUUGGAAUUACUGAGAAGAUGUCGUCAGUAUUAUAGACCUCAGAACCCUGCUUUGUCUAAUACCUCCUUCUCCUAGAUUUGCCUGCAGGCUGAGGUGGACACCUGGGCGUGCCUGCUGGGGAUCUGGGUGGAGUCUCGGCCUAUCCUCGGAUUGGAUAAUUGACUAAUAACCUCCGAUUUUAACUACCAGAUGACAGCCACCUGGCCCCCUCUCUCCUAACCUCCACCAUUCAACCAAGAAUCUGUGUGUUGAUUCGUUGCAGUAUAGAGUUUGGUUGACAAAGUGAUUAGCCAGUAUAACCUAGUGUGUGUGUGUGUGUGUGUCUGGCGUUAUUAUGUCAAAUUUGUAAAUAGCUGUAAAUAGAUUUGUCAAGUACCAGUCGUACAUUUUGUUCACCUUGUAUAUAUCCUUCACUGCAGCAGCCUAGUAGGCGUGAGAAGCCAUUUUUGUUGAUUACGUUUUCUCCUGUUUUUCGUUUAGGAAGUUAGGUAAGUGAAUUGUCUUUUGUUUGGUUUUUCAUUUUGGGUAGGAAAGCGUAGGGACCAUUAGGGAGUUUUGUUUGUUAUUUUUGGCACUGCUCACCGCUGAAGCAAAUAAAUGGCUGCUUAGCACUUCAAAAGAUAUUGUUGUUUGUAUUCUUGCUUGGGUGGUGUGUGAGUGGGCCAACUUCUUGUUGCGUUCAAUACUUGCCUAGACUAAGAACG